rnacentral:lncRNA from 1 species
AAUGGCAUUCAUGAAGGAUAAGCAAACACCAUGAAUGAUAGGAGGUGGGACUUACGGCAGCCAGUUGGUCUGCAUAGGAAGUCCUAGCUUGACAGAUAAUGUUUAAUGUUUUAAAGGGAAACAUAAACUCCAGCCAGGCAGAAACUGAGGAGCUGAUUCAUAAAAACAAGUACAGUAGGAUUUAAAAAUAAAUGAGAUUCAACUCUUUGUUCUCCAGCUGGCUGAAGCACGUGAUAAAGCCCAGAGAGUAUUGCCAUUUAUGACGGAGCAGCCUUAGUCAUCUGAACUCUGCCAGCGCCUCCAACUAAUGUCUGAGAAUUGAGACACAGCUCAGCGUCAUCUAUUCUCUCUUUGGGACAACCGAGUUUUGGAGACAGGGUGCUUGAAGAAGCCGCAGCCCACUGCUGAAUCCCAGCAUCCACUACUGCUGGGGCCCGGUAUCAGCCAUCCCCAGCAUCAGCCACAAUUUCUCACCGUCCACCCUUGACGUCACCUGGGAGCACUCCCCGCUACCUCUCGUGUAGCAUGAGAUGUACAACUUCUGCUCUGUAAAGAAGAAAAAUGGGAUGGGGCCUCCUGUAACAGCUUUACAGGCUGCAGAGCACGGAGGAGCCGGCGGCUGAAGACUCGUCUCCUAAGAGGAGCUGUCCUGCUAGAGAGCUGCAGCGCUCUACGCUUUAAUUCGUUGCUACCCUACUGUUGUUGGAAAACUUCACUCCUGAAGACUGGCUUGCACACGAUGAU